CUAUAGGUUUCAAAGAAGAAAGGCUUGCUUAAUAAACUGUUGGAAGCUGCCACUGAAACAAGAAGAAAUCAAGAGAAGGAAUUCGAACAACUUGCUCUUGACAAACUUGUCACGAUGGCUUAUGAAAAGUACAUGACUCUGUUGGGA